rnacentral:rRNA from 1 species
AGAACGAACGCUGGCGGCAUGCCUAACACAUGCAAGUCGAACGCUCACCGGGCUUCGGUUCGGUGGGAGUGGCGCACGGGUGAGUAGCGCGUGGGAACCUGCCCUGUUGUGGGGGAUAACCGAGGGAAACUUCGGCUAAUACCGCAUAAGCCGGUUGUCUUGAAAGAGAUGGCCGGGAAAGAUUUAUCGCGACAGGAGGGGCCCGCGUCGGAUUAGCGUAGUUGGUGGGGUAAUGGCCCACAAGACGAUGAUCUGUA